rnacentral:rRNA from 1 species
AGACCGUUCUCUUUCGAGGCCGGUCAUCGGAAUGGGUACAAUUUAAACCCUUUAACGAGUAUCUAUGAGAGGGCAAGUCUGGUGCCAGCAGCCGCGGUAAUUCCAGCUCUCAAAGUGCAUAGAAUUAUUGCUGCGGUUAAAAAGCUCGUAGUUGGAUCUGUGCCAUAGGACGGGGUCCACCUUCGGGUGCGUACUCCGCUCCUAGGCUUUUUGCUGGUUUUCCCGUCGUAGCCUUCACUGGUUGCGGCGGGUGGCUGGCGAGUUUACUUUGAGAAAAUCAGAGUGCUCAAUACAGGCGUCUAGCUUGAAUGAUUGUGCAUGGAAUAAUAGAAAAGGAUUUCGGUCCUCUUUUAUUGGUUUUGUGGACUGAGAUAAUGGUUAACAGGGACAAACGGGGGCAUUCGUAUCGCUGCGUGAGAGGUGAAAUUCUUGGACCGUAGCGAGACGCCCUACUGCGAAAGCAUUUGCCAAGAAUGUCUUCAUUAAUCAAGAACGAAAGUCAGAGGUUCGAAGGCGAUCAGAUACCGCCCUAGUUCUGACCGUAAACGAUGCCAACUAGCGAUCCGCCGGUGGAUUUUUAGCCCUGGUGGGUAGCUUCCCGGAAACGAAAGUCUUCCGGUUCCGGGGGAAGUAUGGUUGCAAAGCUGAAACUUAAAGGAAUUGACGGAAGGGCACCACCAGGAGUGGAGCCUGCGGCUUAAUUUGACACAACACGGGGAAACUCACCCGGCCCGGACACCGUAAGGAUUGACAGAUUGAUAGCUCUUUCAUGAUUCGGUGGUUGGUGGUGCAUGGCCGUUCUUAGUUCGUGGAUCGAUUUGUCUGGUUUAUUCCGAUAACGAGCGAGACUCUAGCCUACUAAAUAGUAACGAGAUUGCCAUUGUCUUAGUUGCUUCUUAGAGGGAUUUUCGGUGUUUAGCCGCACGAGAUUGAGCAAUAACAGGUCUGUGAUGCCCUUAGAUGUCCGGGGCUGCACGCGCGCUACACUGGCGAAAUCAGCGUGCUGUAUCCAUUCUCGAAAGAGAUUGGUAAACCCAUGAAAAUUUGCCGUGCUUGGGAUCGGAAAUUGCAAUUAUUUUCCGUGAACGAGGAAUUCCAAGUAAGUGCGAGUCAUCAACUCGCUCUGAUUACGUCCCUGCCCUUUGUACACACCGCCCGUCGCUGCCCGGGACUGAGCCAUUUCGAGAAGAUCAGGGACCGGUGGGCUGUGGCCUCUUCGGAGGUUCGGUCCGUUGGAAACUGAUUUGAUCGCAGUGGCUUGAACCGGGCAAAAGUCGUAACAAGGUAGCCGUAGGUGAACCUGCGGCUG